UCUAGGUCUAGUUAGUAAACUAAGAUCCACCAUGACAGUCUAAUAACUAGGGGCCUUCGAUGGGAAGUUUUACCCAAAUUACUGGGCCACGGUUGUGGCCACUGAUGUUGUGGACUACCUAUAAUAUUCUAAGAAUACGUUUUUUAAUUGAAUUCUAGACUAGACUUACGUACGUCUAACUUACAGUGAUGCCUUCAAACUUCAAUCAGAUUACACUAGACUACACUGACUACAGAGUGUAACAGAGUAACAGACAUACAUAUAUAUAGUAGAUUCUUAUAUUAGGCACACCGUAUUCGGGAACUAGGUCAAAUUUUUAUUUUAUUUUUUUAUUUGGUGACGGUUUAACUUACAAAAAAACUGAAAGCAGAUUCUUAUUCUGCAACUAAAGGACUAUAAAAAUAGCUGUGUUUCUUUUAAUUACCACUCAUAGUCAAGAUUUUAUUUUAAAAUAAAUCAGGUCACUUCAUGCUCCUAUAAUAAACGCAGUUUUUGUGCUUUCUCCUUUAGCGCACAUCGAGCACCGUUAAGAAACACCACUAUGUUAUUGCUAAUAAAUUAUAUCUGUGUUAAUUAAAAAUUAUUUAGAUUGUAUUAAAAGAAGUAGAUUCACUUCUGCAAUAUGUAUUUAUAGUAUAUUGCCUCUCUCUCUCUCUCUCUAUAUAUAUAUAUAUAUAUAUAUAUAUAUAUAUAUAUAUGCCUACCUAUAUAAUCUAUGUGUAGAAACAGAAAUAAAUCUAUAUAAUUAUAGAUCUAUAAAUUAAUUAUUAUAAUAUAACACACAUGAUAUUUUCAACUAGGCUACAUGUAUUAUCUGUCUCUUUCUUUUAAUUCACAUCCAAGGACCCUCUUCUUUUCAUAAUUUGGAUGUUCGUUUUGUUACAUCCCCUCCCUCCCAUAGAUGCUUAUAAUUCUUUUCAUGACUCUCUCCCCCUUCCCUCCACUGCCUGUAUGAUAGGUUGUGACACUACACGCUUAGUGUAUACCUCUCCUCACCACCAGCGCUCGCCUGGCGUGAUCACCUGCAGUGGGCAUGGUCUCUGGCUUCAAAUUAGCAGCCCGCACUUUUUCUUUCAUUCAUAAAUUAUAUAUUCUAGAUAUCUCGAUCUAGGUCACAUUUAUUUAUUGAAAAAAAUCAUAGAUUUAUUAAUCCCAAUAAUAUUUCUUAUUACGAUUUUGCCUUGUGCACUAUAGGAGAAUGUGUUUAAUUCAUUAUUAUUCAUUGAAACACCUCCUUUUUUAAUUUUAUUUAACAGCUAACAGUAUGAAUGUGAUUGGAAUGUCUUUCUAAAGAUGUUUGGAAGCUUAUUUUGAUAGAUCCACCAGCCUACGAUCAAACAGGCUCAUAAUAUAGCCUUCAUCCCUUAUAUGGGUAUGAAUUGCCGGGGGAGGUUUAAACAAUAGCUUUACAUACUUGGUUACCGAGAAUCUAAAAAACUGCCAUCUGCUUUGGAAAAGCGGAACAAAAAUACAGGAACUUAUCUUAAAUUGGACAUGCACUGUCCCGAAACAUCGUUUUUAGCUCCAAACAUAAAAACAAAUUAAUUAUAAACAAAAAAAGCGACGUGUUUCUAAAAGGAGAAUUUGAUGAGCUGUGCCUAAUAUAAGAAGCUACUAUAAAUAAACUGAUACUCAGUGAUAGUAUGUGAGAAAACUGUCUAAGAUCAGACAGUAUGAUAAUGAGUAAGGAGACAGACUGUGCAAUGCUCAGAAUGCUGGUAAGACCCUUACUAAUACUAAUAGCAAAAGGACUGAGCCAACCCUAUUAAUCCAGAUUAUAAAUAAUUCAUGAAUAUGGACUCAUAAUGGAGUCUGGUGUUGGCUUCCAGCAUAAAUAAAGUGGCUGCCACAUGAGUGCAGGACUCUCCAAGUUCAACUGUACAAGAACAGUGGGCUGAUAGAAUAAUACCAUCUCGACUUAUCCAGGGCUGCAGUACCUUUUCUGCUAACCACUGAGAGUGAAGAACCUAAUGAAAAGAAAAAAAAAUAAUUAAAAAUACCUGUUCAUAUCAAGACAUUGGUCUCAUAUACAUGCAAAUACAAUGAAUAUCAAGAUAUUUAGUAUAAUAUAACAAUAUUUAUUACUUACCUUUGCUAGUGGUUUAAAAGCCAUAAUAUCUUGAACCCAACCAUCUAGGAACUGGUUGUAAGCUGCUAAACUCUUGUAAGCCUGUAGACCUUUUCAAAAGUAAAAAUAGCGAUAACAUUUUAGUAAUAGAUGUAGAGCGCUCUUGUUUAAUGAAAAGAAAAAAAAAUAAUAAAAAAUACCUGUUCAUAUCAAGACAUUGGUUGGACUUCGAAGCGUCCUAAAAAUAUAGAAAUUAAAAACCCAAGUCUACACAAAAAAUUCAAUCGAGACUAGUCAAGUGCUUCAGCCGCAACAACCAAAAGGUUUGGGCUAAGGUGUAAUUAGCUUCAAAUUUUAAGGAGCAUUUGAAAGUUGUAAAAGAAACACAGAACUAGUAUCAGAUCUAGGACCAUUAGAUUUAUCAAGUUACUAGACCCGAUGAGCCUAGUCCUAGAAUAAACUUUAAAAAGUCUUUAGCCCUAGACUUAGAUCUAAACUGGAUAGUAAAGGUCCACCAAUGAGAUUGGACCAUAGCGCUCUGAGCAUGCUCUGAGCAUGCUAUAAGUAUGAAAGUAGCGCUAUUAGAUAUAAAUAUUAUAAAAGCUAAAUUUAUUUAUCUUAUCAAGUGACCUAGAAGUGAAGACUAGAUCUAGCUAUAUCUAUUAGAUAAAGAUUAAGUCUCAUAUGCUUAAAAUAUGCAGCAACAGAGAUAUGUAGAUUUUAGAUGUUAUCUAGAUCUAUUCUAUAGAGUCUAGAUGAGAUCUUCUUAUCUUAUAAUACAGACGUUACUUCAAAAAAGAAGAUGAUUACGUCCUACACGUCAUGCAUUUAGUCAUGCAUAUUAACCAAUGACUUAAAUUCAGCCACGUCACUGGUUUUCCUGGCUAGCUCAGGCAACCCAUUCCAUGCUCUAAUAGCACUAGGGAAGAAGGAGUGUUUGUACAAAUUUGUCCUAGCAUAUGGGACGAGGAAUGUGCCUUUAAUCUAGAGAUCUAGAAUGACCUACUAAGCCUAAAUAUUAUGUAGGCUAGACUCUAGAUCUAGUCACACUCUAAUCUGAGACAUCAUCCAGAUUUUGUAUAUAAUAUAUAAUAGAUCUAUAUAGCCAUAGAUCUAGAUCUAGAAUACUAGACCUUGAAGGCUUGAGUAAAGAGUAGAUCUAUCACAAUCUAUAUGAAUGUUGUAUAUAUAUAUGUCUAGAUAUGCUAACUUAAAUAGCUAGAAUAUAGAUCUAGAAUCUAGUCUAGAUUAGUAGAUCUAGAUCUAAUCUAGGUCUAACAAUAAAAUUGAUUCGGAAUACCUUGAAUUCAUCCUUUGUGAUUGUGUAGGCACUUUCAGUAGAACAAGAUUAUAAGUGAAGAGAUCUGGAUAACACAAGGAGGGCAGCAAAUCAUUUUCUUUAUUAUGAUGGCUUGCUUUCAAAGUGUGGCGAUUUUAUUGUUUACCAUGGAGUUGUCUACUUUUCAAAUUUUACUGACCAAGUUUUGUACAGUGACUGAUCCAUCUGCAGUUUCCGAACCAGUAACUGAUAUCUCAAAAUAUUGCUUUAUUGAUGGUGUCUGGUCACCUCAGGGGAAUUAUGCAUUGAGUGAAGACAUCUUGCUGUAGAAGAGAAGAACAAUUCAGAGAGUUCACAUGAUUUACAUAUGGCUUUGAUUGUCUUAUGUUAAUGGCUGGUAAAGAACUGAAACAUGUAGGCUGGAGAUCACUUGAUAGAAAUCAAGUGAACGAAUUGUGUGUCCCCUUACCUGUCAAUUCUGUUUAGUGAUGGUCAAGCUCAACUGAUAUUAUUCUAAGCAGCUUUUAUUCUGAGAAUCAUUCAACCACAGAAGCUGUAAGGGAUAUCUGAAAUCCAUUGCUUACUUGUCUAGCAGAAAGAUUUCUAUCCGUUUAGUGAUAAAAGAUUGAGAUUAAUUGUAUACAACUUUUUCUAGUCACUAAAUAACACACUUUUAUGCUCAAGCAAUACUGUUCAUGAAUGGUUUAGUUUUCUUGAUGCUGAGAGUGUUCAUGAAAGAGGGAUCAAAGGUCAAUUUGGGUGUUUUUUAAGACAACUUGCAAUGUUUAUUAAUUUUAAUUUACCAGGUACCUAUUAUUCAUUUACUUUGGAUUUUAAGAUAUUUGUCAUUGAAAUAAGUACAGUUAAUUAACCACAGGAUUCCAUUAAAAAAUUUAAAUGCUAAAGAAAUUUAAAAAGAAAACAUUUCAUUUUUGAGAUUACAUCAUCUUUAUGUGGAAUGUUUUUUGAAUAAAUGGUACCUGUACAGGUGAUUAGACCUAUUAAUAAAUGAUAACUGGAUAUAUUUGUAUUUGAAACCACUGGCUUGUAUUUUACUUGUUACUAAUAACUUAAUUUACUUUUAAAUAUAUGCAUUAUCUUCUAUUUUGAAGUAACAUCUGUAUUUUAUAAGAUAAGAUUAUCAACUGUAGUUUUCUUUUAAGAGUUCUUUAUGAAAAUGUUACCACUGAACACUGCUAUAUUACUAGACUUUUUUCAACUAUGUUUUGUAAAUGAAAUAUUGUACAAUGGCAUAUUUAUUGUAUUACAUAAUUAAGGUUUUUAUAGCUAUAUAUUAAAAACAUCUCAUAUUUAAUGUACUCUCUGCACUGAACAAUUUUUUUUAAAGUGAUAAAAAUUUUGGUUUAUUCAUAUCAAGUUUGUUUUGUUUGUAUAUAUGUAGAAUAUGUAUAUCAUAGUGAAAGCAUUUAUUUACUUGCAUUUUAGUUUUUAUAAUCAUUUAUAGAAUUCAGUGUAAAUUCAUUGUACAUUGAACCUCGUUGGUAGUGUCAAUGUUAUUAAGUUGACAUGAAGUAUUUAUGUAUAGUCCUGGGUGUUAACUACAUUGUUCAUUAGAUGACUGCCUGACAGUGUUUUAUCCCAUGGGAACCAAUAGAUCAGCAUGUCAAUAUAUCUGUUGUAAGAUGUUUAGAGUAUACAACUCUAGCAAUAAAUAUUCUGAUCAAGUUUAUAUUUUUGGAACAGAAUAUGCUAAUGUGUUAAAUACAUUUUUUUAAAUUUUAAGAAUAACAACUGGUACUUUAUCCCUUUGUAUCUUUCUUUUUUUUUUUUUAAUGUCUAAGUAGUAUAACUUCUAAUUUAAUUGUCUCCCUUUUAAAAUCAACCAUCUAAAUUAGGGAUGGGCAACCUUUUUCUGUUGAGGGCCGCAUUAACUUUUUUUUUUAGGAAUAGGGGGCCACAUAUGUAUAAUUUGUAUUUACAACUUAGAAAAAUAUGCUAGCUGUCUAUUAAUUUACUUGUAUACUGCAUUAGACAUUCAAAUUGAGGAAUUAUAACAAGAUUUAGCAAUUUUUAAAACUAAUUUAACUAAUAUUUAAAAAAAUUUUGUUACUGUCUUUUUACAUCACAUUCAUUCUUCACAACAAUCCAGUUAUACUUAAUGUGAAGUAUUUAAUUGUGCAUAAUGUUCCGGAACUCUGGAACUAGCUUUACUAGUUCUUAUCUUUGUGACUGCUGUUAAAUUACAGCCAGUCAGCAUCCACUUGUUCUUCUGGUUGCAUAUGUUCAAACAAAAGAAAAUAUUCUUGUGCAUCCAAAAAUGUCAAAGUUUAGCAUCAAGUCUUUUUAAGUGUGGAAAUACAGCUUAUGCACCCUUCAAACUGCUUCUCUUUUGGGUCAUAAUUUGCUAGGAAGUAUUUCCUCGGGAGCUGAAUCAGCUUCUGUACUAAAUGGUGAAGUGAGGAUAUUCAAAAAUGGUUUAAGUUCUUGACGUCUUAACAUUUGUUUUCAAAUUCCAUAAGUCUUGUUCUUUUCUUUUUACUAGAAAUAGUUUCACCUUUCAGCAAAGGAAAAUGUGUCACAGUCUUAGUUGACAUUGCAUGAUCUAAAGUUCACGUCAUGUUAAGAGUUUAAAAGACACGUGGAAUUCCUGAUGUAGAAAACAAGAAGUAGAAUGAAUAAAGUUGACUUUGAGUUCAGUCUAGUCAAGUCAGUAAGGUUUUGCUCCCGGUCCAGGAAGGUUGGACGUUGCUUCCUGGACUGGUGUAUAUAUAUGUAUAUAGCAUGAAAGUCGAUGGACUAAUGAUUGUUGAUUAAUUAUAUUUGAGAGUUGAUUUCAUCAUGUGCUUAUUGAAUAUUAAGUAUUAUUCGUAUUGCAAUGGAUAUCUAUAGUUGGAGCUCCAGUGUCACUAGUAGCAAUUGUUCUUAUUGUUACCCGCGGACGUGAUUUGUAACUAACAUAUAUUGGAUACUUUUGAUACCGCUGUUAUGUGGAUAGGAUUGUUAUUAUUUCUUGACUUGUAGCACUAACAAGGAGUGCAGUGUACUAUUAUUAUUAUUAUGGUAAAAUAAACUUCAUGUUGUCUGCUGAAA